CAGUUGGAAACGACUGCUAAGACUGGAUAGGAAGUUUUAAGGCAUCUUGAAACUUUUAAAAGACCCGCAAGGGUAUGCUGAGAGAUGGGCUUGCGGCACAUUAGUUAGUUGGUAAGGUAACGGCUUACCAAGACCAUGAUGUGUAGCUGGACUGAGAGGUUGAACGGCCACAUUGGGACUGAGAUACGGCCCAAACUCCUACGGGAGGCAGCAGUAAGGAAUUUUCGGCAAUGGAGGAAACUCUGACCGAGCAACGCCGCGUGAACGAUGAAGUAUUUAGGUAUGUAAAGUUCUUUUAUUAAAGAAGAAAAAAUGAUGGAAAAAUCAUUCUGACGGUAUUUAAUGAAUAAGCCCCGGCUAACUAUGUGCCAGCAGCUGCGGUAAUACAUGGGGGGCAAGCGUUAUCCGGAUUUAUUGGGCGUAAAGGGUGCGUAGGCGGUUUAAUAAGUCUAUGGUCUAAGUUCAACGCUUAACGUUGUGAUGCUAUAGAAACUGUUUGACUAGAGUUGGAUAGAGGCAAGUGGAAUUCCAUGUGUAGCGGUAAAAUGCGUAAAGAUAUGGAGGAACACCAGUAGCGAAGGCGGCUUGCUGGGUCUUAACUGACGCUGAGGCACGAAAGCGUGGGGAGCAAACAGGAUUAGAUACCCUGGUAGUCCACGCCGUAAACGAUGAGUACUAAGUGUUGGGUUAAACCAGUGCUGAAGUUAACGCAUUAAGUACUCCGCCUGAGUAGUACGUACGCAAGUAUGAAACUUAAAGGAAUUGACGGGACUCCGCACAAGCGGUGGAUCAUGUUGUUUAAUUCGAAGAUACACGAAAAACCUUACCAGGUCUUGACAUACUCUGCAAAGCUAUAGAAAUAUAGUGGAGGUUAUCAGGGAUACAGGUGGUGCAUGGUUGUCGUCAGCUCGUGUCGUGAGAUGUUGGGUUAAGUCCCGCAACGAGCGCAACCCUUAUCGCUAGUUACCAUCAUUUAGUUGGGCACUUUAGUGAGACUGCCAAUGAUAAAUUGGAGGAAGGUGGGGAUUACGUCAAAUCAUCAUGCCCCUUAUGACCUGGGCUACAAACGUGAUACAAUGGCUGUUACAAAGAGUAGCUGAAGCGUGAGUUUUUAGCAAAUCUCAAAAAAACAGUCUCAGUUCGGAUUGAAGUCUGCAACUCGACUUCAUGAAGUCGGAAUCGCUAGUAAUCGCGAAUCAGCAUGUCGUGGUGAAUACGUUCUCGGGGUUUGUACACACCGCCCGUCAAACCAUGAAAGUUGACAAUACCCGAAACCAGUAGCCUAACUUGCAAAAGAGGGAACUGUCUAAGGUAGGGUUGAUGAUUGGGGUUAAGUCGUAACAAGGUAUCCCUACCGGAAGGUGGGGAUGGAUCACCUCCUUUCU
rnacentral:rRNA from 1 species